GAUGAACGCUGGCGGCGUGCCUAAUACAUGCAAGUCGAGCGAACGGACGGGAAGCUUGCUUCUCUGAUGUUAGCGGCGGACGGGUGAGUAACACGUGGAUAACCUACCUAUAAGACUGGGAUAACCUCGGGAAACCGGAGCUAAUACCGGAUAAUAUUUUGAACCGCAUGGUUCAAAAGUGAAAGACGGUCUUGCUGUCACUUAUAGAUGGAUCCGCGCUGCAUUAGCUAGUUGGUAAGGUAACGGCUUACCAAGGCAACGAUGCAUAGCCGACCUGAGAGGGUGAUCGGCCACACUGGAACUGAGACACGGUCCAGACUCCUACGGGAGGCAGCAGUAGGGAAUCUUCCGCAAUGGGCGAAAGCCUGACGGAGCAACGCCGCGUGAGUGAUGAAGGUCUUCGGAUCGUAAAACUCUGUUAUUAGGGAAGAACAUAUGUGUAAGUAACUGUGCACAUCUUGACGGUACCUAAUCAGAAAGCCACGGCUAACUACGUG
rnacentral:rRNA from 1 species